GAAAAAAUGGAAACUGUUCUUCACCGAAAUUAUUUUUCCUCUGAAAACCCUAAUUGAAUCGUUGACUCGUUAUACUUUCCUCUUUUCUAAAAACCCAUGAGCAGAACUUCGCCUCUUCCGUGGAAAUCACUUAUUAGUGGUAGCACUAUGGCAUGAUUGCGCGCGGCAUGAAAUGAAUUUGGAGGGAAUUAAAGGACCUCGAAAGAAAUCCACCUUCUUCCUGCACUGAUGAGAUGGCCAAGGCUUAGUUUGGGAAACGACAUGGAUUUAAUGGCUUUAAUCUGUUUCUGGUGCGUAGUCAAUGCGAGAAAGAGACACCCCGAGGGUGUGAAGUCCGGGCAUAUUCUGAAUUCCAGCACCUAUCAGGCUAUCACCUUAGAAUCCACGGAGGUGUUUGUGGCUCCUGGUUUUGAUGGACUUGCUGAGAAGAAUCCUUUGCAGUGGCGGUUGUUGUCGCUUUGUCAGGGAACCAAUUUAUCAUCCUCACGCCUGUUAAUCAACAAAGGACGCAUAUUAUGAACUCUAUAGUAAACUCAAUCAAUUUAAUGCAAAUCAUGCAAUUGCGUCGAUUCCAAAGGAUUGGAUUUUAGCAGAAGUCUAUUCUUAAGCAAAUAAGCAAAUAUAUAGUUUUUUGUCACCAUAAUUUUUUUGUUUUUCUUUGACUCCAGGGUUGUGUAGUUCAAGAUUAAUUAUCAUGAGUCUACAUCAUAUUUGGUACAAUCAGUUAUUUUAAGAAAUGCAUUGCAACUAUCACUUACAAAUUA